GACAGAGGGUGCAAACGUUGUUCGGAUUUACUGGGCGUAAAGCGCGUGUAGGCGGCUUGGCAAGUCGGAUGUGAAAGCCCACGGCUCAACCGUGGAAGCGCAUCCGAAACUGCUUCGCUCGAGUCUCGGAGAGGAAGGUGGAAUGCUUGGUGUAGAGGUGAAAUUCGUAGAUAUCUGGAGGAAUACCGGUGGCGAAGGCGGUUCUCUGGGCAUGACCUGACGCUGAGGAGCGAAAGUGUGGGGAGCGAACAGG
rnacentral:rRNA from 1 species